rnacentral:lncRNA from 1 species
AUGGGUGCUGACCUCAGCCUGGUGCUGCUGCAGGACUGGGCCCUGCGGCGAGAUUCCCUCGCUAGCAGCCUUCAUCUCUCACCUCAAUUCCUCCAGGACCCAGCCUGGGGGCAGCCCUGUCCUGUCCCAGCGGGCGAGUGGCAUCAGCGAGGGGUGAGGUGUGCGGAGCAGCAGUACCCCUCUUCCCCAGGCCAUCUCCAAAUUCCUGCUGCUGAGAGAAGUGGCAGCGGCAGCCUCGGUCUUGUAUUUUCUCGUUUCUCUAGAAAGCCAGGCCGAAAUGCCGGCGGCUCUCCAGCACCCCUGAGAUCACAGGGCUCGUCUUGUUCAUCAGCUGCUCCACAUCUGUCCUGCCAACAGCAUCUCACCAGCCGCCAGUCGCUCCCCCCUGGGGAAAUGACAAUGACAGCUUUACCUUCGUUUUCAGACAAGUCUCGCGUUUUUUUGUGCCACCCAGGCCAGCUGCAAGCUGUGUUUCCCUCCCGUGCCCUGACCCCCUGGAUGCACAGCUCGGGGACUAGCACGUGCACGGGGCUGGGGCUGAACGAUCGCAUCUCACGUGGGUUUGCGGACGGGAGCUUGUGUGCUCUGAGGAAAAGCCGGAGGAAAGGAGUGCACGGCAGCAGUGCUGGGCUGCGGGCGGGUGGCCAGGGGGCAGCCGCUAUCGGCACGGCAGUAGUGGCAGGACAAAGGGGGAUUGGCUUUAAACUAAAAGAGGGGAGAUUUAGAUUAGAUAUGAGGACGAAACCCUUCACUCUGAGGGUGGUGAGGCCCUGGCCCAGGCUGCCCCCAGGAGCUGUGGCUGCCCCAUCCCUGGCAGUGCCCAAGGCCAGGCUGGAUGGGGCUGGGGGCAGCCUGGGCUGGGGGCAGGGGGCCCUGCCCAUGGAAGGGGGGAGGCUCUGGAUGAUCUUUAAGGUCCCUUCCAGCCUGAACUGCUCUGUUAUUUCACGUUUCUAUGAUUCCAAGUGCACUGAGGGCAGGGCGCAGACUCCUUCUCUCCAGCGUAGUUUUUCCACACAGAUGCUGAGCAGAGAGGGGGGGGGUCUCAGGGCAGAGGGGAGAGGACCAGACAAGCCCAUGCAUACAUGCUUCUGGAAGCACAGGUCAGAUGCAAACUGCCUCAAAUGCAGUUCCCAGUGA